rnacentral:lncRNA from 1 species
AGUUCCCGCCGGCAGAGUCCGCUCUCCAUGGAGUCAUCUCUGCAAGUCUUGCGUUCCCAAAGAGGAAAUUUAGGCAUAUUUUAACAACUAAAUGAGAUUAAAUACAUUAACAUGUUUAAAAUCAUUUGCUGCUUGGGAUGCUCUAGGACGAUUGAACAGGAGCUUUGGCUCACAAGACCGGAACUGCAGUAAUCUCCUUCCAUGAGGAGUUCAGCUUUGUCCCCAUAGGCACGGUUCCUCUGGCAUUUCUGCUGCUUGCUCUCUUGGGGACGGAACCCCCUUAGGAAGUGUUUGAAAACUGCAAGAUCUCACCCUCUCCACCACCAAGCCAAGGGAAAUCUGACCAAAAGGAUUUUCCUCCCGAAGAGAAAAACACGGAUAAUUAGUGAUCCCGCCGGGCGUUGUGGCUCACGCCUG